rnacentral:rRNA from 1 species
GACGAACGCUGGCGGCGUGCUUAACACAUGCAAGUCGAACGAGAGCGUAGAGAAAGCUUGCUUUUUCUACAAUCUAGUGGCAAACGGGUGAGUAACGCGUAAACAACCUGCCCUACGGAUGGGGACAACAGCUGGAAACGGCUGCUAAUACCGAAUACGUUCCGAAAGUCGCAUGACUAUCGGAAGAAAGGAUGGCCUCUAUUUAUAAGCUAUCGCCGGUGGAUGGGUUUGCGUCUGAUUAGCUAGUUGGAGGGGUAACGGCCCACCAAGGCGACGAUCAGUAGCCGGUCUGAGAGGAUGAACGGCCACAUUGGAACUGAGACACGGUCCAGACUCCUACGGGAGGCAGCAGUGGGGAAUCUUCCGCAAUGGGCGAAAGCCUGACGGAGCAACGCCGCGUGAGUGAAGACGGCCUUCGGGUUGUAAAGCUCUGUUAUACGGGACGAAUAAUCUUGUGGUUAAUACCCAUGAGAAGUGACGGUACCGUAAGAGAAAGCCACGGCUAACUACGU